CGGACGGGUGAGUAACACGUGGGAACGUGCCUUUAGGUUCGGAAUAGCUCCUGGAAACGGGUGGUAAUGCCGAAUGUGCCCUUCGGGGGAAAGAUUUAUCGCCUUUAGAGCGGCCCGCGUCUGAUUAGCUAGUUGGUGAGGUAAAGGCUCACCAAGGCUACGAUCAGUAGCUGGUCUGAGAGGAUGACCAGCCACAUUGGGACUGAGACACGGCCCAAACUCCUACGGGAGGCAGCAGUGGGGAAUCUUGCGCAAUGGGCGAAAGCCUGACGCAGCCAUGCCGCGUGAAUGAUGAAGGUCUUAGGAUUGUAAAAUUCUUUCAGUAGGGACGAUAAUGACGGUACCUACAGAAGAAGCCCCGGCUAACUUCGUGCCAGCAGCCGCGGUAAUACGAAGGGGGCUAGCGUUGCUCGGAAUUACUGGGCGUAAAGGGAGCGUAGGCGGACAUUUAAGUCAGGGGUGAAAUCCCAGAGCUCAACUCUGGAACUGCCUUUGAUACUGGGUGUCUUGAGUGUGAUAGAGGUAUGUGGAACUCCGAGUGUAGAGGUGAAAUUCGUAGAUAUUCGGAAGAACACCAGUGGCGAAGGCGACAUACUGGAUCAUUACUGACGCUGAGGCUCGAAAGCGUGGGGAGCAAACAGGAUUAGAUACCCUGGUAGUCCACGCCGUAAACGAUGAUUGCUAGUUGUCG
rnacentral:rRNA from 1 species